AAGCCCAAAAUGAAAAGCCUGCUUGCAGGCGUUGUAUUUGAGCAGCCUUGGGGCGUCAGUGUAGGUAAGUCGCAUGGAAAUGCGUACCGUGGAGGGUGAAAGUCCCGUCCAACCUAUGCAGGACGUUCCGCACAAGGCUGUUUCAGUCGAGUCGGGUAGCUUGGGAAUGCUGCUCUAAUUGGUGGUAAAUCUCAUCAAAGGCUAAAUAACGGUGGGAGACCGAUAGUAAACAAGUACCGUGAGGGAAAGAUGACAAGCACUUUGAAAAGAGGGUGAAAAGAACCUGAAACCGUUACGGGGGAAGCGGAUUGCGUUGGAUUGAUGGGUGUUUGUGUGUUCAGCCAUGAACUUUGUUCUAGGUGCAUUGAUGCAGAUACUUAUCCGUCGUGGGUUUCUUGGCAACCGAUUUUGGGUUGCUAGAGGCUGAGGGCUCCCCUUUUUGGGUUGAGGACGGCGGAGUGACGACGCGAUACGACCCGUCUUGAAACACGGACCAAGGAGUCUAGCGCGGGUGCGAGUCGGAGGGUUUUAAAACCUGUGGGCGAAGUGAAAGCGAGUUUUGAUUCUAAAACUAGCAGUUUGAGGCGGCAUAGAAUCGUUGAUUCUAGGUCUGACCUGGAGCAGUUGCGCUGGGACCCGAAAGAUGGUGAACUAUGCCGGAGUAGGGCAAAGCCAGAAGAAAUUCUGGUGGAGGCUCGUAGCGGUGCUGACGUGCAAAUCGCUCGUCAAACUUGGGUAUAGGGGCGAAAGACUAAUCGAACCAUCUAGUAGCUG
rnacentral:rRNA from 1 species